UACGGAGGGUGCGAGCGUUGUCCGGAAUCACUGGGCGUAAAGGGCGCGUAGGUGGCCUGCUAAGCGUGCGGUGAAAGUCGGGGGCUCAACCCCCGAUCGGCCGUGCGAACUGGGAGGCUUGAGCACUGUAGAGGCAGGCGGAAUUCCGGGUGUAGCGGUGGAAUGCGUAGAGAUCCGGAAGAACACCGGUGGCGAAGGCGGCCUGCUGGGCAGUUUUGCUGACACUGAGGCGCGACAGCGUGGGGAGCAAACAGG
rnacentral:rRNA from 1 species